rnacentral:lncRNA from 1 species
AAACAAGUGCAACAAAUAGAGGAAGGGACAAGGGAAUGGACAGAGGAAAGGCCAGUAAUACAACAAUUAGACCUACUAGGGAUGUAUUCCCAUAUGUUAUUCCUCAAAAUGCUCCUAGAGAAAGGGGUGCAAUACCAAAAGAAGAGAAACUUCAAAUGGUGUGAAAAGGGAUCUUCAACUGGAUCUUUACCUGCUGUUGGAUAGAAAAGGCCAAGAUAUGUUGAAUUU